rnacentral:rRNA from 1 species
CAGGCAGCCGCGGGAAUACGGAGGGUGCAAGCGUUAAUCGGAAUUACUGGGCGUAAAGCGCACGCAGGCGGUCUGACAAGUCAGAUGUGAAAUCCCCGGGCUUAACCUGGGAACUGCAUUUGAAACUGUCAGGCUGGAGUCUUGUAGAGGGGGGUAGAAUUCCAGGUGUAGCGGUGAAAUGCGUAGAGAUCUGGAGGAAUACCGGUGGCGAAGGCGGCCCCCUGGACAAAGACUGACGCUCAGGUGCGAAAGCGUGGGGAGCAAACAGGAUUAGAUACCCCGGUAGUCCCUGUCUCUUAUA